rnacentral:rRNA from 1 species
UGGGGAAUCUUGGACAAUGGGCGAAAGCCUGAUCCAGCCAUGCCGCGUGAGUGAAGAAGGCCCUAGGGUUGUAAAACUCUUUCAGCGGGGAAGAUAAUGACGGUACCCGCAGAAGAAGCCCCGGCUAACUUCGUGCCAGCAGCCGCGGUAAUACGAAGGGGGCUAGCGUUGUUCGGAAUUACUGGGCGUAAAGCGCGCGUAGGCGGACUGGUCAGUCAGGGGUGAAAUCCCGGGGCCUAACCUCGGAACUGCCUUUGAUACUACCAGUCUCGAGUCCGGAAGAGGUGAGUGGAAUUCCUAGUGUAGAGGUGAAAUUCGUAGAUGUUAGGAAGAACACCGGUGGCGAAGGCGGCUCACUGGUCCGGUACUGACGCUGAGGCGCGAAAGCGUGGGGAGCAAACAGGAUUAGAUACCCUGGUAGUCCACGCCGUAAACGAUGGAUGCUAGCCGUUGGGCAGCAUGCUGUUCAGUGGCGCAGCUAACGCAUUAAGCAUCCCGCCUGGGGAGUACGGCCGCAAGGUUA